rnacentral:rRNA from 1 species
AGACGUAGGGGGCGAGCGUUGUCCGGAAUUACUGGGCGUAAAGAGCACGUAGGCGGAUAUUUAAGUCAGUUGUGAAAGACCGCAGCUCAACUGCGGGGUUGCAAUUGAAACUGGGUAUCUUGAGGGCAGGAGAGGUCAGUGGAAUUCCUGGUGUAGCGGUGAAAUGCGUAGAAAUCAGGAGGAACACCAGUGGCGAAGGCGGCUGACUGGACUGACCCUGACGCUGAGGUGCGAAAGCGUGGGUAGCAAACAGGAUUAGAUACCCUGGUAGUCCACGCCGUAAACGAUGGAUACUAGGUGUGGGAGGUAUCGACCCCUUCCGUGCCGCAGCUAACGCAAUAAGUAUCCCGCCUGGGGAGUACGGUCGCAAGGCUGAA